CAGGUUGGAGUGCAAUGGUGCGAUCUCAGCUCAGCACAACCUCUGCCUCCCGGGUUCAAGUGAUUCUCCUGCCUCAGCCUCCCGGUAGCUGGGACCACAGACCAGAGUGAAGACAAAUAUGUAUUAUUUGGUAGCUUAUGAACAGCAAGGAAAAACUGACUGGCAACCACCAUAGCAAGGCAUGAAACCGUAACCACCAGGACCCUCACAUUUACAUGUUACUGACUAGCAAAUGUCUAGGCCUAAAACAUCUGCCCUCUUAUAGCUAUGUUUUAUUAUUAUGUAAACAUGGGUACAAGUUUUCUGACAUAAAAUAGUAGAUGACUCAGUGUCUUCAAAUGAUUAAUUGCUGGGUUUUUUUGCCUGACCUCUGUCUUCAUUUCUUCUAUAAUAAAUCUAUUGUCAUGCUUGGA